rnacentral:rRNA from 1 species
GACGAACGCUGGCGGCGUGCUUAACACAUGCAAGUCGAACGGUAAGGCCCUUCGGGGUACACGAGUGGCGAACGGGUGAGUAACGCGUGAGUAACCUGCCCUUCACUCUGGGAUAACAGUUGGAAACGGCUGCUAAUACCGGAUAUUCAGCUCCUGUCGCAUGGUGGGGGUUGGAAAGUUUUGGUGGUGGAGGAUGGGCUCGCGUCCUAUCAGCUUGUUGGUGGGGUGAUGGCCUACCAAGGCGUCGACGGGUAGCCGGCCUGAGAGGGCGACCGGCCACAUUGGGACUGAGAUACGGCCCAAACUCCUACGGGAGGCAGCAGUGGGGAAUAUUGCACAAUGGGCGGAAGCCUGAUGCAGCAACGCCGCGUGCGGGAUGACGGCCUUCGGGUUGUAAACCGCUUUCAGCAGGGACGAAGCGAAAGUGACGGUACCUGCAGAAGAAGCACCGGCUAACUACGUG